rnacentral:lncRNA from 1 species
AUAGAACAUAGAUUCAAGGGAAAUACUUUGUCUAACAAAGUCACUGGCUUAUGUAAAAUAGAGGCGACAAUUUUUAAUGAAUACUAUUGUUUCUGGAAUUCUGCGGUGCCAGACAAUUGUUUGCAAAGAUCUAAAUUCAUAGAGCUUCCCUUUAUUAAUCGAUAUAACACUGCUCCCAGUUCAAGCAAAAAAAAAAGUUUAAAAAGCCAAACAUGAAAAAACAAAACCAAAGGAAAAUAAUAUAGCAUGUGAUGUAGGGAGAUAAGUUGGCGGGAACGAUGGCUUGCUCCACUUCUGACAUUCAAGCAUGGUGGCGUUUGCAGAUUUGUUGCCUAUCCAAAGCUCGAGAGUGUCAGUUGAUCAAACUCCAUCACUUUUGUCCCCGCACAUGGGUGUUGCAACUAAAGAAAGUUCUGAAACCUCUCAGCAAGUAGUCCAGCAGAAACAACAGUUGCACUAUAUAAUUUAGCAGUGGUAAUAGCCAGAUCAAUGUUUAACUGCGAUAUAUGGCAACUGGUUAGAUCACAGAAUCGAAGAGAGGAUCUUAGUUUACAGUGAAAACACCACAGUAGAUUCCCCGUAGUUUUGUCUUUCCGUGCUCUUCCUAUAUGAAAAAUGCACUUGUACUUGUUAUUAAUAUUAAUGAAAAGUUAGGCAUGAUGGAAGAGUCCACACCCGUAAACCAUUCUUGGAAUAAGAUUACGCCCUGAAACUGGAUCAACAAUAGGAUCAAACCAAUCCUACCAGAAAAAGAGCACUUGCAAGAUCUUAGGGAUGAUGGUAGCGUUCAGCAAAUUCCUAUUGACCAGAGCCAAAUUUAUAAAGGACAAACGAUUGCCAGAUAAAUGAUUCUAUGACAUAAUACAAAGGAAUAUAAAGGUAGUGUGGUGGAGAUCGUCAACAAUUACCUGGAGGAUUCACCAAGGCGGAGAUCGUCAAAGGGGCAGCAAGUUGAGCGGAAUUUGCAACGGAGCCUGACAUUUUGGAAGGAGUGAUCUAUGGAUCGAUGGAAGAAAUCCAGACUCAAACGUCACCAAUUUAUACAGGAUUCCAUUGUCGGUUUUAUUUUAUACGUUUAAGAUUUUGCUAAUAAGAGAGGGAGACGGAGAGACUCAAGAGCAACUC